GCAAGUCAAGCGCGAAAGCCUUUCGGGGCGAGUAAAGCGGCGGACGGGUGAGUAACGCGUAGGAAUCUACCUGGUAGUGGGGGACAACUUGGGGAAACCCAAGCUAAUACCGCAUACGCCCUAAGGGGGAAAGCGGGGGAUCUUCGGACCUCGCGCUAUCGGUUGAGCCUGCGUAGGAUUAGCUAGUUGGUGAGGUAAAGGCUCACCAAGGCGACGAUCCUUAGCUGGUCUGAGAGGAUGAUC
rnacentral:rRNA from 1 species